UACGUAGGUGGCAAGCGUUGUCCGGAUUUACUGGGCGUAAAGCGCGCGCAGGCGGACCGGUCAGUCCGGGGUGAAAUCUCACGGCUCAACCGUGAGGGGUCCCCGGAUACUGCUGGUCUUGAGGGGCUCAGAGGAGAGUGGAAUUCCGGGUGUAGUGGUGGAAUGCGUAGAUAUCCGGAGGAACACCAGUGGCGAAAGCGGCUCUCUGGGGGUAACCUGACGCUGAGGCGCGAAAGCGUGGGGAGCGAACCGG
rnacentral:rRNA from 1 species